CCUCCAGAAAGCUUCCUUCAUGAGAACCAAAUAGCAUCAACAUUUCCAGACUCACCUACAGGUACUAUCCUAGAACUGGGACAGCAAUAGCAAAAACAAACAAACAAACAAAAACCUAGCAUGAUUCAUGAUCUCAUGGACUAAUAUCCUCCAAUCAGAGUGAAAGAAAAUAUAUCAAAACAUUGCAAAUAUAAAUGUCAAGUGAAAUCUCUGGUAAGCACUAGGAAGAAGCCUGCUCUUCAGGGGACUUUGGACUAUUCUGAGAUGUCAGUGAGGAUGUGACAACUGAGCUGAGACCUGAAGCACCAAGAGUGAAUGGACAGAGGUGAAGUGGAUGUGAUGUGCAGAGGGAAGAAGCGUUCCCAGAGGAGGAUUUGUGGAAGAACCAGUACAAGUAGCUGAAACUGUGGCCAUGUGGCGGGAGCAGCACGGGCUGAGAUGAGGCUGAAGAGGGAGUGAGGGCCCAUCCUACCUGCUCAGCACCAGCCCUGCUUCUAUCCUUGAGAACACUGAGCGUGGGCUUCGGGCUUCGCUGCUUUUUUUCUCAGGAGAGCUCACCUUUUCCAGUACUUCUGGGCAUCAAAGCUUGGAAGAGUUUAGGACCUCAAGGAAGUUUUAGAACUAGUACAAUUAACUAGGGAUAUUUGGUCAGCAAAUAUUGAUUGAGUACACGGGGUGGGGAAAGCACUGUGGUAAGCAAGUGCUAAGGCGAAAAAGUCCCUCAACUCAAGCGUUUACAAUCUGAUAUACUCUAGCCAUGCAGAAUAAGCUGACAAGAGGAUAAUUCUAAAACAAAGCACACUGCUGCUUCCUCCAGCCAGCCUGACAGCCUGGUUGAGAAGUGGGCGUUCC
rnacentral:lncRNA from 1 species